rnacentral:rRNA from 1 species
AGGGUUUGAUCCUGGCUCAGGAUGAACGCUAGCGGCAGGCCUAACACAUGCAAGUCGAGGGGUAGAGGAAGCUUGCUUCCUUGAGACCGGCGCACGGGUGCGUAACGCGUAUGCAAUCUACCUUUUACAGAGGGAUAGCCCAGAGAAAUUUGGAUUAAUACCUCAUAGUAUAUUUGAAUCGCAUGGUUUAGAUAUUAAAGUUCCAACGGUAAAAGAUGAGCAUGCGUCCCAUUAGUUAGUUGGUAAGGUAACGGCUUACCAAGACGAUGAUGGGUAGGGGUCCUGAGAGGGAGAUCCCCCACACUGGUACUGAGACACGGACCAGACUCCUACGGGAGGCAGCAGUGAGGAAUAUUGGUCAAUGGACGCAAGUCUGAACCAGCCAUGCCGCGUGCAGGAAGACGGUCCUAUGGAUUGUAAACUGCUUUUGUACGGGAAGAAACCCUCCGACGUGUCGGAGCUUGACGGUACCGUAAGAAUAAGCAUCGGCUAACUCCGUGCCAGCAGCCGCGGUAAUACGGAGGAUGCGAGCGUUAUCCGGAAUCCUUGGGUUUAAAGGGUCC